AUUUCAGGGCUGGCAGUGGAGACAAGCAUAUCUUGCUGGAGAUCCCUGGGUGCUUGAGACCUUCCUCAGCAGCUCAAAAAUUCACAUUUUGAUGUCAAGAGGAGGUGGUCAUGGACAUGGCGAAGUACAGUGUUGGGGGCUCUUGAUGGAAGUCAUGUAAUAACCGAGAAUAACUCCAAUCUUUGAAUGUACAAAACAAAUAACUGGAAAACAUAGUGCUUGUAUGUAUAUGCAAGGUAGUUUUUGGUAGUGGUGGAAUAAAUGGAAUAAAACCAGAAGAAAUCUCUGUCAAACUAAUACUUUAGAACUGGAGAUCUCCCCUGGAAAAUGGGACAUCACAGGAAUUGUUAAAAAGAUUUCACUUGUCAUAUCUUGUAACUAGGCUAGUAAUUAUUUUGGAACCGAGUUUAGUUUUCCUGUGUUCAGAGAAGAUCCAUACCAGUGUUCCAUCCCCUACUAAAAAUGGAAUGGAAGAGGUUUUUUUAAUUUAGAAAUUUUACAUUUCAGCAAAUCAGCUGGUGGGUUUUUAUAUUAAAACUAGUAGUCAGUCUCAAAUUCUCAUCUAAAAUGAGGAAUCAAGUAUUUGUAUACAAGUAAAAGUACAUAGAUGAUUAAAUUCCUGUGUGAGAAUGAGCUGUUCAUAGGCAUAUCUGAACAACUCGUAAUUCCAGCUAAAUCAUGACAAUGGCUCUGAAAAUUUAGGUUUCUUAAUCAGUCGACUCUAUUAUGGUGCCUUGCAGUUUUUACACAGAGAAGCUUUGCCAGCUUUGUAGGGGGUUCAGAUGCUUCAGGUACUACUGAAUAGCUUAGGGUAAGCAGGAAAUCUGUUUGAUGCACUGCUAUUUACUUGGGGGGGAAAAAGUCUGAGAAGUGAUCAGUGUCAAUGGGCUGAGAAGUUCUUUACUCACACAGCUGUUAAAUGAAUGGGAGGAUGACAAUGAGGUCUUGUAAGCUGGCUGCUUGUUCUUUGCAUAAGCCUUCUGUCUCGCUUCAGUGUGGUUAACUGUAGCACACUGCUCUGUCAGUAGGGCCAAGCAAGGAAAUUGUAUUAGUGUAGCAAAUCAUAACCUUUAGAAAUAAUAUUUACAUAUUAAGUCUUAAUCAUCUGUAUGUUUGAGUAUCACCAGAGCAUAGGCUGUUAAAUGUAAAUGUACAUUUGCUGGAGUGUAUGAAAAUAUAUACAGUAUGUACG
ensembl:lncRNA